rnacentral:tRNA from 1 species
GGAAAUGUGGCAGAGCAUGGUUGAUUGCGCCGCCCUCGAAAAGCGGAGGCUGUGAAAACGGCCCGCAGGUUCGAAUCCUGCCAUUUCCG